CCUACGGGUGGCAGCAGUGGGGAAUAUUGGACAAUGGGCGAAAGCCUGAUCCAGCCAUGCCGCGUGUGUGAAGAAGGCCUUCGGGUUGUAAAGCACUUUCAGUGGGGAAGAAAGCCUUGGGGCUAAUACCCUCGAGGAAGGACAUCACCCACAGAAGAAGCACCGGCUAACUCCGUGCCAGCAGCCGCGGUAAUACGGAGGGUGCGAGCGUUAAUCGGAAUUACUGGGCGUAAGGCGCGCGUAGGCGGUCUGAUAAGCCGGUUGUGAAAGCCCCGGGCUCAACCUGGGAACGGCAUCCGGAACUGUCAGGCUAGAGUGCAGGAGAGGAAGGUAGAAUUCCCGGUGUAGCGGUGAAAUGCGUAGAGAUCGGGAGGAAUACCAGUGGCGAAGGCGGCCUUCUGGACUGACACUGACGCUGAGGUGCGAAAGCGUGGGUAGCAAACAGGAUUAGAUACCCGAGUAGUC
rnacentral:rRNA from 1 species